UCCAGGGUAACCUAGUGGACAUGGCAUCUGCCCGGUAAGCGGAACAUUGUGGGUUCGAUUCCCAUCCCCCUGGAC
rnacentral:tRNA from 1 species